rnacentral:rRNA from 1 species
AUUGAACGCUGGCGGCAGGCCUAACACAUGCAAGUCGAACGGUAACAGGAAACAGCUUGCUGUUUCGCUGACGAGUGGCGGACGGGUGAGUAAUGUCUGGGAAACUGCCUGAUGGAGGGGGAUAACUACUGGAAACGGUAGCUAAUACCGCAUAACGUCGCAAGACCAAAGAGGGGGACCUUCGGGCCUCUUGCCAUCGGAUGUGCCCAGAUGGGAUUAGUUAGUAGGUGGGGUAACGGCUCACCUAGGCGACGAUCCCUAGCUGGUCUGAGAGGAUGACCAGCCACACUGGAACUGAGACACGGUCCAGACUCCUACGGGAGGCAGCAGUGGGGAAUAUUGCACAAUGGGCGCAAGCCUGAUGCAGCCAUGCCGCGUGUAUGAAGAAGGCCUUCGGGUUGUAAAGUACUUUCAGCGGGGAGGAAGGGAGUAAAGUUAAUACCUUUACUCAUUGACGUUACCCGCAGAAGAAGCACCGGCUAACUCCGUG